rnacentral:rRNA from 1 species
AUUGAACGCUGGCGGCGUGCUUAACACAUGCAAGUCGAGCGGUAAGGCCCUUUCGGGGGUACACGAGCGGCGAACGGGUGAGUAACACGUGGGUGACCUGCCUCUAGCUCUGGGAUAAGCCCGGGAAACUGGGUCUAAUACUGGAUAUGACUCCAUGACGCAUGUUGUGGGGUGGAAAGCCUUGUGCGGCUAGAGAUGGGGCCCGCGGCCUAUCAGCUUGUUGGGGGGUGA